rnacentral:rRNA from 1 species
GACGAACGCUGGCGGCGUGCUUAACACAUGCAAGUCGAACGGAAAGGCCCUGCUUUUGUGGGGUGCUCGAGUGGCGAACGGGUGAGUAACACGUGAGUAACCUGCCCUUGACUUUGGGAUAACUUCAGGAAACUGGGGCUAAUACCGGAUAGGAGCUCCUGCUGCAUGGUGGGGGUUGGAAAGUUUCGGCGGUUGGGGAUGGACUCGCGGCUUAUCAGCUUGUUGGUGGGGUAGUGGCUUACCAAGGCUUUGACGGGUAGCCGGCCUGAGAGGGUGACCGGCCACAUUGGGACUGAGAUACGGCCCAGACUCCUACGGGAGGCAGCAGUGGAGAAUAUUGCGCAAUGGGCGGAAGCAUGAUGCAGCAACGCCGCGUGCGGGAUAACGGCCUUCGGGUUUUAAACCGCUUUCGCCUGUGACGAAGCGUGAGUGACGGUAAUGGGUAAAGAAGCACCGGCUAACUACGUG